GGGAAGGGGCGCGGCUUUCCGGCCGGCUGCAAACAAAGGAAAAGCCCUCUGCGCCUGCGGGGGGCGGCGGGCGUGUCCUGCGUGCCUCCAGGGAUCGCGCUUCGCUCAGAAUGCGGAGCUCCUCUGCUUCUGUGUCAGCUGGCGGUGCGGCUUGGAGAAAGAAAAUACACUGCUGUCCUGGUAUAGGCACGCAGGAGUAGGCUGGAUGUGGCCUUUGUUAGGGGGUUUCGUCGCCUCUAUGUAGUAGAUGUGAGGAGUUGGCUGUUCCUUGGGCAGUGCUUGGUGUUGGUGGAUGGCCUUACGGGGCAUCAUCUGCUGAGGGUGAAUGUUGUGAGCAGCCUGGUCUCCUGUGCAGGAAUAGAGGCACACACCUCUCUGAGGAUGUAGAUUCAUAGUACAGGCCAGCCUCUGUAUAUUGCCACCGGAUAGGCAGUCCUGUCUUCCUCUCUGAUAAUCCUGGCUGGGCUCUCCUGUUUAUUUACAAAGCAGUAACCCUGAUGUUGCCAUCUGGUGAGGCGUGCCUGGGGUCCAACUCAGCUAAAAGCCAGUUAUGCCCCUGCAAAAAACAGCUGGCUUUCAGCUGCGCCUGCUCCUGAACGAGGUGACCCGACAGAGCUGCAGCAAGCACCAGGAGGAUGGAGGUGGAGGCAGGAGGAGCCCACUGAGACCACAGAAGAGCUGAGCUGCACUGCUGCAGUCACUCCCUGCUGCCACAGCUCCUGUGUGACAGUGCUGAGAGCAUCCUGCUAAUAACAGCCUAGUGAUAGCUCCCGAUGGCAAUGUAAUUUGUCUGGAAAAUGUAACUUGCAAUCUUAAGGUAGCAGCAUGAGGUUGUAUCUCAGUAAAGUUCUCAGAAAUGCUAACUGAUGCAAGUGAAAGAGCAGGGAUUGAAACUAGUUGCUGAGAGUACCACUUAAUGCAGCGUGUGUGAAUGUGUCACUCAUAGAUGUACAUAUCUCGCUUCCCUGAAAAUCAUGUGGAGAUUCUUAGGCCUUUUUGAGUAUUUUAGAACUGGAGCCAAAAUUGUGAUGAAUUUAUAACAGCUGCAGCUCUGGCUUCCCCUUUUUCCAGCUUUCUUCAAACUUUCCUGUCCAGGACAUCAAUUCCUGCUGUUCUGUCACAUACAAAAGCAUAGACGCUGUGCGGACACUGGAGACCUAAAUGCUUGUCAGGGAAAGCAGACAUUACGCAGCCCUGUGCCACCAUAAUCCAUUCUCACAAGACUUAUUGUACCUCUUAUCACAUUAGACAGCACGUAAACUGCUUUGUCUGAGGCUCGUAUCCCUCAUCUGGGAAACUGUGACAGAAAGAAGGUUGGUUAGUUAAUCGUAACCUCUGUGUGUUUUUUUCCUUCAGUGUUUUCAGUAGUAUUUGAGGCAGGUUGUUCUGCUUCCUAGUGGUAUAGGAUAUCCUUGCUCCCACUGGCCUCCCUUAGAAGAGUAGCUACUGAACACAGUAGUGAUUCCUUGUCACUCUUGUUGGACCUCUCAGAGCAAGGUCUGUUUUGGGAAGUGUCUGUGUGCACAUUUUGCCAAGAUCUGUGAAGUGGCAACAGGAGGAGAACAACUUCUCCAAAACCUAGCCAUGUACAUUAGCUGUAUGUGAGGAUUAUAGGACAGUUCAGGCUGAAAGGGCACUUAGUCCAGCCUCUUACUCUUUCUCACAUUAUGUCUGUAUGGUCUUUGAUAUGAGAGAUGACAAAAAGAAGAAGGACUAACAGCCAUCAGGAAUUCAUAAAUUUGCUAAUAACAUAAAAGAAUGGUAGCCAUGAGUGUGAUAUUUUAUAGCUUUUACUGCUGCUGUGAUCAGACAAACUCCAGCUUUCCUGGCUGGGGUGACCUAAGAAAUAUUAGUUCCCUGACCGUCUGUUCUGCCUCUUGACUGAAGAUUAUUGCUUCCACAACAGUCCCAGGAAUGGAAAGCGCAAAUGUUUCUAACACAUUUUAAUAUAAAAUAUGGCAUUAAACUGUUCUUUAUCUACAGUUUGAGCUAAUUUGUUGGGCAUUGUAUUAAAACAGCUGGGACUCGUGUAUUUCAUUUCACUAACUUGCUGUCUAACAGUGAUCUCAGGCGAGGAGAGUGAAGCAAGUUUCUGUGUGAGGGUGAUGCUUCACUGAAACUUCUUUUACAGCUGGUGUAUUCUCAGGUCUUACAUCUUUUUAUUUUCUUGAUAAAGGUUAUAUACAUAGCAGCCUGGGAUAAGAGAUGAUGCUGGUGGGUGUCAGUGGCUGUGGUUAGACAGGCUCCAGCUGUGGUGGUAGAGAAGGGCAUUACUCACAGUUGAACCCCAGAGACUUAUCAUGCCCCUUUGCAGCGAUCUGCAAAUCUGCCAGCUGAGCUGAUUGCAUGCCCUCUUUCUCUGAUUUAUUCUAGUUAGUUCAGUCAGAAGCUGAUAUAAAUUAAUGGAGCUCUUUUGCCGUGAACAUUUGAUUUGGUUCAAAAGUGUCUCUUAAGGUAGAAUAAUUGCAGACACUGUCAGAUAAGUUUAAAGCUAUUCACAGUUAGGGUCUGUGUCAGAUUAACAAAACUGGUUUCUAAAUUGAUUUGGUUAUCGUUACGUAAAUUCCAUAGAUUGUGUCUAACUUAGGUGUUUGAUGCAGGCUUUUAGCACAGACUUGCAGGGAACUUCAUUUGUAGCCUUCUCCCACACACAAAGUCCUGCAGGAAAAGAUUGAAAGCAUGUGAAGUGAGAUACCUAUGAAUUGUGAACUGCCAUUUGCUUUUGUCUUCUCUUCCCCUUGCAAUUAUAUUUAACUUGACUACUGGAAUUAUUAUGCUUCUGUAAUAAUGCUUAAUGCUCACAUGCAGACAUAAUUCUUUACCAAAGGUCUUAUAGGUUACACUGAGAAAUGCUGUAAUAACAGAAGGUAAAAAACAAUAGGGAGGCAAUUGAGAAAAGAAGGAGGAUGUUACAUAUUCAUGGCUAUUAACCUUCAGGGGAAGUUAUGCACGACUCAGUAAAGGCAUCAGUAGAUACACACUGUUAAUUUCUAUACGCACAUAGUAAUUCUUCUCCUGCCUAGAUAUUUUUAUUGGAUGAAAUUUAUCAUGUUGACACAUCUACUCAUUUCUUUUCUAGGAAACUCCAUCAGAGCCUGAACCUCCAGAAUUUGUGAUGGAGUAGCAACACAGAAGGAUGUAGUCAACAUCUUUCAUACAAGAAAUAAAUGCAGUCACAUCUGCAGGAGAGAGGGAAUCAGAGCCUAUGGCCAGAACCUGUGUGGAAGCGCUUCCUGGUUGCUGCUGUGUCAGUGGUGAGGGACAACACACACUGCACAGCUCCCCGUGAUGCCAAAGGGGGGACAUUGCUGAGGAGCUGCUCAAAUACGCUCAUUCCUGACUGCACCAGCAGCCAUCUGCAGCCUAAGAAUCAGGGCCUCACACAAGGAAUCCAGAGCUGCCUGCCCUUCUGCAGUACACCAGCUCUUGCUGAAAGAGCACUGGCAGAGAAAUAACAGAUUGCAGCAAGACUUGAGAGAAACAGGAGUGACCUCCCCUGGAACAUCCCUCUCAGCUCUCUUCUCCACUGUGCUCCUUACUGGCUGCUCUCCAUGCUCGUGUCCAA